GGGCCUGUAGCUCAUCUGGUAGAGCGCAGCAUUCGCAUUGCUGAGGUGGGCGGUUCGAGUCCGCCCAGGUCCACCA
rnacentral:tRNA from 1 species